UGGACAUACCUCUGGUGGACCUGUUGUCGUGCCAACGGCAUAGCAGGGUAGCUACAGUAUGGAAGAGAUAAACGCUGAAAGCAUCUAAGCGUGAAACUCGUCUCAAGACUAGUCAUCCCCAUUAGAGUCGUGGAAGACUACCACGUUGAUAGGCCAGAUGUGGAAGCAUAGCAAUGUGCGGAGCUUACUGGUACUAAUAACUCGAUUGGCUUGUUCUU
rnacentral:rRNA from 1 species